rnacentral:rRNA from 1 species
UAGGGAAUCUUCCACAAUGGACGAAAGCCUGAUGGAGCAACGCCGCGUGAGUGAAGAAGGUUUUCGGAUCGUAAAGCUCUGUUGUUGGUGAAGAAGGAUAGAGGCAGUAACUGGUCUUUAUUUGACGGUAAUCAACCAGAAAGUCACGGCUAACUACGUGCCAG